rnacentral:rRNA from 1 species
AGAGUUUGAUCCUGGCUCAGGACGAACGCUGGCGGCGUGCUUAACACAUGCAAGUCGAGCGAUGAAGUUUCUUCGGAAAUGGAUUAGCGGCGAACGGGUGAGGAACACGUGAAGAAUCUGCCCUCCACUUUGGGAUAACACCGGGAAACCGGUGCUAAUACCGAAUAUUGAAACAUAAGUGGCAUCACUGAGUUUUGAAAGAAUUUCGGUGGAGGAUGACUUCGCGGCCUAUCAGCUAGUUGGUGAGGUAAUGGCUCACCAAGGCAACGACGGGUAGCCGGCCUGAGAGGGCGACCGGCCACACUGGGACUGAGACACGGCCCAGACUCCUACGGGAGGCAGCAGUGGGGAAUAUUGGGCAAUGGAGGAAACUCUGACCCAGCGACGCCGCGUGCGGGAUGAAGGCCUUCGGGUUGUAAACCGCUUUCAGUAGGGAAGAAGCGAAAGUGACGGUACCUACAAAAGAAGCACCGGCUAACUAUGUGCCAGCAGCCGCGGUAAUACAUAGGGUGCAAGCGUUGUCCGGAAUUAUUGGGCGUAAAGAGCUCGUAGGUCGUUUGUUACGUCGGAUGUGAAAACCUGAGGCUCAACCUCAGGCCUGCAUUCGAUACGGGCAAACUAGAGUUUGGUAGGGGAGACCGGAAUUCCUGGUGUAGCGGUGGAAUGCGCAGAUAUCAGGAGGAACACCAAUGGCGAAGGCAGGUCUCUGGGCCAAUACUGACACUGAGGAGCGAAAGUCUGGGGAGCGAACAGGAUUAGAUACCCUGGUAGUCCAGACCGUAAACGGUGGGCACUAGUUGUGGGAACCUUCCACG